AUUCAUAAGCAUCAGCAUUAAAACAAUGGCUGGGCUUGACUCAAACAGUGAAACAGCCAUCUUUUAAUUAAAAAUAAUAAUAAAAUAGUGAAAUGUGUUUAUGAGUUGCACAGUGUCAUAGUGAGUCUAAUGAGGAGAUUAGUGGAGAUCAAUAGAUUACUAGAUGUAAGUAGAGUAUAAAUGACUUGAGAUGAUGAGAUAGAGAUGACGACAUGGGAUGGACAGUUUAAAACAGAGAUAAUAAUGUUAUCUGAGAUGUACCAGAUGACAUGGUGUGGCUGAUUGAUGAAUUGAUUGAUUGGUUUACCUAUUGAUUUGUGGUGAUGGUACAAGCUUGCAUGCAGAGUGUGGCUGGCUAUGAUUUGGCAGAAACCAAACCAAUGAAUACAUUGUAUAAAACUUGAUAUCAACAUAUUUGAAUACUGUUCACACUGUGAAACUAUAUUACAGAGACAAUAUAAUAUGAAACUGACUGAUAAAUGCUCGAUACACAGGGAAAUAUACAAAAUGUACGUCUUCUUCAUAUUCUGGACUAAAAAAAACAAUGAUAGACAUUUUCCAGAUGGCUCCGAUAGCAGACACAUUACAAUACAAAGACCUGCUACAUUUUCUUUUCAACAAUAACGGGACGGCACAUCCAGUUCAAUAAUAAACAUCCUAUUCAUAGAAGAGCAUACAGAAGUACACACAGAAUACACUAGAAAUGUCAAGACAGAAAAAUAUAAAAAUAGCAAUCACAAUAAAAGAAUAAUCCAUAUCAGAAGAAAUACAUUGUAGUAAAUAGUAGUACGAUAGCAGUACACAGUGAGGGAGGUUUUGUUUGAUCAGUCUGGAGGUACUAGCUGUAUCUGAAACAGCAGCUAGCACCUUUUCCUAUACUAGUGCACUGUGGGAGUGUUUUGGCCCAAAGUACUAUAGGGAAUAGGGUUCCAUUUCAGAUUUCCCCAUUGUUAUUGUAGUACUAGAGUAGUACAUAGUCUAGUGUAUAUUGUCCUGGCUCUAGGUUGUUAUUGUAGUACUAGAGUAGUACAUAGUCUAGUGUGUAUUGUCCUGGCUGUAGGUUGUUAUUGUAGUACUAGAGUAGUACAUAGUCUAGUGUAUAUUGUCCUGGCUGUAGGUUGUUAUUGUAGUACUAGAGUAGUACAUAGUCUAGUGUAUAUUGUCCUGGCUCUAGGUUGUUAUUGUAGUACUAGAGUAGUACAUAGUCUAGUGUAUAUUGUCCUGGCUGUAGGUUGUUAUUGUAGUACUAGAGUAGUACAUAGUCUAGUGUAUAUUGUCCUGGCUGUAGGUUGUUAUUGUAGUACUAGAGUAAUACAUAGUCUAGUGUAUAUUGUCCUGGCUCUAGGUUGUUAUUGUAGUACUUGAGUAGUACAUAGUCUA
rnacentral:lncRNA from 1 species